AUGGGCAGCAAAAAGAUUCUGGUGCUGCACACCAACAAGAACUUCGACCAGCAGAGGACCAACUGGGUGAUGCACCAGUACCACCUCGGGGACCUGGAGCAAGAGAAGGAGCGGGAGCUGGCCCUCUUUGUACUACCUUGUCGUCCGCAAGUUGGUAUUGUUGUUAACGAUAUUUUGGUCGAGCAAGUUUCAACUGGGUUGUAG
rnacentral:rRNA from 1 species